rnacentral:rRNA from 1 species
CCUACGGGUGGCAGCAGUGAGGAAUAUUGGUCAAUGGACGAGAGUCUGAACCAGCCAAGUAGCGUGAAGGAUGACUGCCCUAUGGGUUGUAAACUUCUUUUAUAUGGGAAUAAAAUGUUGCACGUGUGGGAUUUUGUAUGUAUAAUAUGAAUAAGGAUCGGCUAACUCCGUGCCAGCAGCCGCGGUAAUACGGAGGAUCCGAGCGUUAUCCGGAUUUAUUGGGUGUAAAGGGAGCGUAGGUGGAUUGUUAAGUCAGUUGUGAAAGUUUGCGGCUCAACCGUAAAAUUGCAGUUGAAACUGGCAGUCUUGAGUACAGUAGAGGUAGGCGGAAUUCGUGGUGUAGCGGUGAAAUGCUUAGAUAUCACGAAGAACUCCGAUUGCGAAGGCAGUUCACUGGACUGCAACUGACACUGAGGCUCGAAAGUGUGGGUAUCAAACAGGAUUAGAUACCCUUGUAGUC